GAUUUACCUUCAAUUCGACGUCGAUUAUCGUCGACGCAAACAGUUUGACAGUUCUCUUCAGUUGAUCUUGUUCGGACUUGAUUGCAACCGAGUCGAACCAGUUGUUGUUAAUUUUAGGCUUUGGGAGGUUUUUGGACAGUUUAAAGAUUCCGGUCUUUGAUGCGGUAUAGGAGGAAGAGGAGGAGGAGGAGGACGGGAAAUAUGGUAUACUCGGCGGGCAUUCCGGAAGACGGGACAAGAAGGAACCAGUUUGCGAUCGAGGAACUGGUUGGUGUUUGUUGUUUUACUUUCCGCGGGAGGUUGCGACGCAUAUCUAAUGGAACUGGCAACAAACGUAUUCCAAUCAGAUCCUGCCGUCCACGUGUGGUACCGUGUUGCAUCCGUAGAACCCACGGAAGCAGCCACGUUGUUUCGUACGCAUACUCCACAAACCCUUUGUCUUGUCUCGUACUCCGGUGGCCAUCAAUCCGUCGGAGAUCCAAGAUUGGCUUUGCAUCCCUGUACAACUUUGAUCAGCUCGUCGGGGAUCAAAAGUCCAGCAUGACCAAAAUGCUGCCAGGAGAACACCAAUCCAAGCCCGAAGCUGCGAUCAAGGAAAAUCAAGGAAUUUUGAGAAGAAUCGGCGAUCUGGAAGUUAAAUUUCGUGAAAAAGUUAAUAUUAUUGUGAAAUUAGAUGUGUUUGAAUAAAAAAUAAAAUAAAAAAACAAAACAACAGUUUUUUUCAACAGCAACAUAACCUAAAAAU